rnacentral:tRNA from 3 species
GCCAGUGUGGCGAAAUUGGUAGACGCAGGGGAUUCAAAAUCCCCCGCCUUUGCGGGCGUGCCGGUUCGAGUCCGGCCACUGGUACCA